rnacentral:rRNA from 1 species
CCUACGGGGUGCAGCAGUGAGGAAUAUUGGUCAAUGGACGAGAGUCUGAACCAGCCAAGUAGCGUGAAGGAUGACUGCCCUAUGGGUUGUAAACUUCUUUUAUAUGGGAAUAAAACGUUCCACGUGUGGGAUUUUGUAUGUACCAUAUGAAUAAGGAUCGGCUAACUCCGUGCCAGCAGCCGCGGUAAUACGGAGGAUCCGAGCGUUAUCCGGAUUUAUUGGGUUUAAAGGGAGCGUAGGUGGAUUGUUAAGUCAGUUGUGAAAGUUUGCGGCUCAACCGUAAAAUUGCAGUUGAAACUGGCAGUCUUGAGUACAGUAGAGGUGGGCGGAAUGCGUGGUGUAGCGGUGAAAUGCUUAGAUAUCACGAAGAACUCCGAUUGCGAAGGCAGUUCACUGGACUGCAACUGACACUGAGGCUCGAAAGUGUGGGUAUCAAACAGGAUUAGAUACCCUGGUAGUC